CCUUUUGAUAAGCCAUGUCGAUCAAAAAGCCAACCAUGUCGGAACCCGAAAUAUAUGGACUGAAUUAUCCAUGUUGCAGACCCACGACGCAACUACGAAUAACAAGAAAAGCAUAACCCAGUCAGCUCAGAAAGAUUUGCCCAGUUAGGUUUUUUAGCUGUUAUGGAAUUUUUGUAAUUUCCUUUGAUUUUGUUUUGAUCGUGUAAACAUAGAAGUAUGAGUUUUUGUUAUUUUCUCUUGUACUUAAAUUCACUGCAAAUGAAUAAAAGAGUAGAUCAUUUUUUCCCAAACAAUCCAACAGUGUCGUUUUCUCACUACAACCAGAAAAUAUUCAAACUCUUGCUGAUUCUUCCACUAUGAUCGGGACAUAUCAUUGGUAUCAUAACAAGAAUAACAUGACAUCCAAGAAAGAGUGUAUCGAGAAUUUAGAAAUGUGACUCGGCGGCCUACAAGAUAGCAUGAGUCAGCUUGAAGUCGGGAUAGUUGACAAAUUCUGACAAAUUGAAGAAAACUCAGGCAUAUGACCGAAUUCAUGACGAUAAAAAGUGAAGGUUCAAGUAGUAGCUCGGUGGGCCGACCGAAUCUGACGCGAAUACC
rnacentral:lncRNA from 1 species